UCGGCUCAACCGAGAAACUGCCAUUGAUACUGUUGGUCUAGAGUGUAGUUGGCGUAGGCGGAAUAUAUCAUGUAGCGGUGAAAUGCUUAGAUAUGAUAUAGAACACCGAUCGCGAAGGCAGCUUACGAAACUACAACUGACGCUCAGGGACGAAAGCGUGGGGAGCGAACAGGAUUAGAUACCCUGGUAGUCCACGCCGUAAACGAUGAUUACUCGUUGUCGGCAAUAUACAGUCGGUGGCUAAGCGAAAGCGAUAAGUAAUCCACCUGGGGAGUACGAUCGCAAGGUUGAAACUCAAAGGAAUUGACGGGGGCCCGCACAAGCGGAGGAGCAUGUGGUUUAAUUCGAUGAUACGCGAGGAACCUUACCUGGGCUUAAAUGCAUAAUGACGUACUGGGAAACCGGUAUUUCUUCGGACAUUUUGCAAGGUGCUGCAUGGUUGUCGUCAGCUCGUGCCGUGAGGUGUCGGGUUAAGUCCCAUAACGAGCGCAACCCCUAUCGUUAGUUGCCAUCAGGUCAUGCUGGGGACUCUAACGAAACUGCCACCGUAAGGUGUGAGGAAGGUGGGGAUGACGUCAAAUCAGCACGGCCCUUACGUCCAGGGCCACACACGUGCUACAAUGGCCGAUACAGAGGGCAGCCACUUGGUGACAAGGAGCAAAUCUCAAAAGUCGGUCUCAGUUCGGAUCGAAGUCUGCAACUCGACUUCGUGAAGUUGGAUUCGCUAGUAAUCGUAGAUCAGCAAUGCUACGGUGAAUACGUUCCCGGGCCUUGUACACACCGCC
rnacentral:rRNA from 1 species